UGGGGAAUAUUGCACAAUGGGCGAAAGCCUGAUGCAGCAACGCCGCGUGAGUGAUGAAGGCCUUCGGGUUGUAAAGCUCUGUCUUCUGGGACGAUAAUGACGGUACCUGAGGAGGAAGCCACGGCUAACUACGUGCCAGCAGCCGCGGUAAUACGUAGGUGGCAAGCGUUGUCCGGAUUUACUGGGCGUAAAGGGAGCGUAGGCGGACUUUUAAGUGAGAUGUGAAAUACCCGGGCUCAACCUGGGUGCUGCAUUUCAAACUGGAAGUCUAGAGUGCAGGAGAGGAUAGUGGAAUUCCUAGUGUAGCGGUGAAAUGCGUAGAGAUUAGGAAGAACACCAGUGGCGAAGGCGACUCUCUGGACUGUAACUGACGCUGAUGCUCGAAAGCGUGGGGAGCAAACA
rnacentral:rRNA from 1 species